rnacentral:rRNA from 1 species
AUUGAACGCUGGCGGCAGGCUUAACACAUGCGAGUCGAGCGGAUGAAGGGAGCUUGCUCCUGGAUUCAGCGGCGGACGGUUGAGUAAUGCCCAGGAAUCUGCCUGGUAGUGGUGGAUAACGUCCGGAAACGGGCGCUAAUACCGCAUACGUCCUGAGGGUGAAAGUGGGGGAGCUUCGGACCUCAUGCUAUCAGAUGAGUCUAGGCCGGAUUAGCUAGUUGGUGGGGUAAAGGCCUACUAAGGCGGCCAUCCGUAACUGGCCUGUGUGGAUGGUCAGUCACAUUGGAACUGGGACACGGUCCAGGCUCCUACGAGACGCAGCAGUGGGGUAUGUUGGACAGUGGGCGGGAGCCUGGUCCAACGGUGCCGCGUCUGUGGAGGAGGUCUUCGGAUUGUAAAGAACUUUUAGUUGGGAGGAACGGCAGUAAGUUGAUACCUAGCUGUUUUGACGGUACCAACAGAAUAAGCACCGGCUAACUUCGUG